rnacentral:rRNA from 1 species
ACUCCUACGGGAGGCAGCAGUGGGGAAUAUUGCACAAUGGGCGCAAGCCUGAUGCAGCCAUGCCGCGUGUAUGAAGAAGGCCUUCGGGUUGUAAAGUACUUUCAGCAGUGAGGAAGGUGGGUAUGUUAAUAGCAUAUUCUAUUUGUACGUUAGCUGCAGAAGAAGCACCGGCUAACUCCGUGCCAGCAGCCGCGGUAAUACGGAGGGUGCGAGCGUUAAUCGGAAUUACUGGGCGUAAAGCGCAUGCAGGUGGUUUGUUAAGUCAGAUGUGAAAGCCCGGGGCUCAACCUCGGAAUUGCAUUUGAAACUGGCAAACUAGAGUACUGUAGAGGGGGUUAGAAUUUCAGGUGUAGCGGUGAAAUGCGUAGAGAUCUGAAGGAAUACCGGUGGCGAAGGCGGCCCCUGGACAGAUACUGACACUCAGAUGCGAAAGCGUGGGAGCAAACGAGGAUUAGAU